rnacentral:rRNA from 1 species
CCUACGGGAGGCAGCAGUGGGGAAUAUUGGACAAUGGGCGAAAGCCUGAUCCAGCAAUGCCGCGUGAGUGAUGAAGGCCUUCGGGUCGUAAAGCUCUUUUACCAGGGAUGAUAAUGACAGUACCUGGAGAAUAAGCUCCGGCUAACUCCGUGCCAGCAGCCGCGGUAAUACGGAGGGAGCUAGCGUUGUUCGGAAUUACUGGGCGUAAAGAGUACGUAGGCGGUUAUUCAAGUCAGAGGUGAAAGCCCGGGGCUCAACCCCGGAACUGCCUUUGAAACUAGAUAACUAGAGUCUUGGAGAGGUUAGUGGAAUUCCGAGUGUAGAGGUGAAAUUCGUAGAUAUUCGGAAGAACACCAGUGGCGAAGGCGACUAACUGGACAAGUACUGACGCUGAGGUACGAAAGCGUGGGGAGCAAACAGGAUUAGAUACCCUGGUAGUCCACGCCGUAAACGAUGAUAACUAGUUGUUCGGUCACUUGGUGACUGAGUGACGCAGCUAACGCAUUAAGUUAUCCGCCUGGGAGUACGGUCGCAAGNUUAAAACUCAAAGGAAUUGACGG